ACAUCCAGAGAAUUUAGCAGAGAUGCUUUAGUGCCUUCGGGAACUCUGAGACAGGUGCUGCAUGGCUGUCGUCAGCUCGUGUUGUGAAAUGUUGGGUUAGGUCCCGCAACGAGCGCAACCCUUAUCCUUUGUUGCCAGCACGUAAUGGUGGGAACUCAAAGGAGACUGCCGGUGAUAAACCGGAGGAAGGUGGGGAUGACGUCAAGUCAUCAUGGCCCUUACGAGUAGGGCUACACACGUGCUACAAUGGCGCAUACAAAGAGAAGCGACCUCGCGAGAGCAAGCGGACCUCAUAAAGUGCGUCGUAGUCCGGAUUGGAGUCUGCAACUCGACUCCAUGAAGUCGGAAUCGCUAGUAAUCGUAAAUCAGAAUGUUACGGUGAAUACGUUCCCGGGCCUUGUACACACCGCCCGUCACACCAUGGGAGUGGGUUGCAAAAGAAGUAGAUAGCUUAACCUUCGGGAGGGCGUUUACCACUUUGUGAUUCAUGACUGGGGUGAAGUCGUAACAAGGUAAGCGUAGUGCU
rnacentral:rRNA from 1 species